UACCAGCUCUCCGAGUAGUGUGGAUGUUUAUUGGGCCUAAAGCAUCCGUAGCUUGCUAAGCAAGUCCCCUGUUAAAUCCACCGAUUUAAUCGUUGGAUUGCGGGGGAUACUGUUUGGCUAGGGGACGGGAGAGGCCGACGGUAUUUCCGGGGUAGGGGUGAAAUCCUAUAAUCCCGGGAAGACCACCAGUGGCGAAGGCUGUCGGCUAGAACGCGCCCGACGGUGAGGGAUGAAAGCUGGGGGAGCGAACCGGAUUAGAUACCCGGGUAGUCCCAGCUGUAAACGAUGCAGGCUAGGUGUUUGGGCGGCCACGAGCCGCCCUAGUGCCGCAGGGAAGCUGUUAAGCCUGCCGCCUGGGGAGUACGGCCGCAAGGCUGAAACUUAAGGAAUUGGCGGGGGAGCACCACAAGGGGUGAAGCUUGCGGUUU
rnacentral:rRNA from 1 species